rnacentral:tRNA from 1 species
GUCUCGUUAGCUCAGUUAGUAGAGCACUAGACUUUUAAUCUAACAGUCAGAGGUUGGAGUCCCUUACGGGGCU